GUAGGUGGCAAGCGUUGUCCGGAAUUAUUGGGCGUAAAGCGCGCGCAGGCGGUUCUUUAAGUCUGAUGUGAAAGCCCACGGCUCAAUCGUGGAGGGUCAUUGGAAACUGGAGAACUUGAGUACAGAAGAGGAAAGCGGAAUUCCACGUGUAGCGGUGAAAUGCGUAGAGAUGUGGAGGAACACCAGUGGCGAAGGCGGCUUUCUGGUCUGUAACUGACGCUGAGGCGCGAAAGCGUGGGGGGAGCAAACAGGAUUAGAUACCCUGGUAGUCCACGCCGUAAACGAUGAGUGCUAAGUGUUAGGGGGUUUCCGCCCCUUAGUGCUGCAGCUAACGCAUUAAGCACUCCGCCUGGGAGUACGGCCGCAAGGCUG
rnacentral:rRNA from 1 species